rnacentral:lncRNA from 1 species
GGGGUUGGAAGGCUGACAGGGAGUUAUCUUUAGGCCAAGGCUGGAUCACAGGCAGCGGGGCUGACCCGGGGCAGGAAGACCAGUUAGACAGCUGCUGAAAUAGCUCGGGCAGGAGAGGAGGGAAGGCUGAACCAAGACCAGGCAUUAGGGAUGGCGGGAGCGGGCAGCGGAGGGGCCUUCGGAGAGGAUUACUCUGGCCCACAAGUGCCCCUGGCCUGCCUGCUGACCCCAACACACGCAGGGACUGGAGCACGGUACCAACAGAAGCCAAGGACCACGUGUCUACACACAUGAAGCUGGAGAUUGAGCCCACAAACUCCUAAUAAAGCAAACUCUGUCCUUCCACCUGGGCAAGUGUACCUUCCCGACGAGGGGAAGACCAAGUCCAAAUUUAGAAUUCUUGGGGUGCUUGGAGGCUGUGCCAGA